rnacentral:rRNA from 1 species
UACGGAGGGUGCAAGCGUUAUCCGGAUUCACUGGGUUUAAAGAGCGUGUAGGCGGCCUUUUAAGUCCUGCGUGAAAUCCUGCGGCUCAACCGCAGACGGUCGUGGGAAACUGGAAGGCUAGAGUGCGGGAGAGGAGAGUGGAAUUCCCGGUGUAGCGGUGAAAUGCGCAGAUAUCGGGAGGAACACCGGUGGCGAAGGCGGCGACCUGGGACAAUACUGACACUGAGGUGCGAAAGCGUGGGGAGCAAACAGG